GAAUAAGAGAGAGAGUGUGCCCUCAUCCAGGUGGUGGCCUGGUCCUCAUUUCUCCCGCUCCACUUUCUGCUUCUCAGCCAUGUUUGUUGUUUUUCUGUUUCGCAUUAAUCAGGACUGUUAUGGCGAGCACAGGUAGUGUUAUCCCAAAGGGAAACUUUUCCUCCUUCUUCUUUAUCCACAAUUGAAAGAGUUCCCAUGUUCCCAGGGUGGGUUCAGGCACUGCUAGCAUAAGCCUAAAGCAAGGGAGAUUGACAUGUUGUUGGACUACAAGUUGCAUCAUCCCUGACCAUUGGCUGUCCUGGCUGGGGCUGAUGGGAUUUGGAGUCAACAGCCUCUGGAGGACAGUGCAUUGACAACCCCUGCCUUAAAGGUUCUGAGAAGGCAAUGGAUAGUGUUCUGUUCUUCUGUCGUUUGUUCUGAACCCAUUUGUCUGGAGGUUUCUAGUACCUAAGUUCACAGCAUUUUGUGCUCCUGAUACAUAAAUACUGCUGCUGCAGUUGCACUGGCACAACCGUGAUGCAGUGCUAGCAUAGACCCAUGAUGCUUCAGCAGUGAAUUGACCUUAGAGUUCUGUCUUCAGCUGUCUUUAGCUGCUCCUGCUGUGCUGAUAAACUUCAGAACGUGAAGGCACAACUUGUGACAUUUAAGAAGUCUGAAAGGGGCCAAUGAAAGGAAAUGGUUUCCAGGGCUGAGGGGGCGGAAGAGGAGGCAAGGCUCCAAGGCCAUUAGAGCUUCUUCUAAGAACACCAGAAGAGCUUUGUGGAUCAGAACAAUGGUUCAUCUCGUCUAGUAUCCUGUUCUCACAGUGGCUGACCUGCGGGAGACCAGCGAGCAGGAUUCGAUCACACUCUCCCCUCCCGUGCUUUCCAACAACUGUCAUUCAGAAGCUUUGCUGCUUCCAGUUGUGGAGGCAGAGAAUAGCCCACCAUGGCUAGCCACCAUCAAUAGUCCUCUCCUCUGUGAAGUUGUCCAAUAUUGUUCUUCCUCACAAUGAGCAGAAGCAUUAUAAUAAUUUAUAAUUAUACCCCGCCCAUCUGGCUGAGUUUUUUUAAUAAAAAAAACCUCAUGUACUUAUUCUGAGUAAUUUAAAGAAGAGAGCAGUCUCUUAAUGGUUGCAGGAUUUGAUCUAAUUUUGUGCCAGAUACUAAGUUAUUGGUAAGUUCUCCAUAUAAUUUCAGGGCUGUAGUUAUAGCUUCAUGACUGAAAGACAUGGAAAUGUAUGCUAUCCUAGACAGUAGGAACUCUGUAUUUUCCGUCUAUAAGACGCCCCCUAUUUUGGGGGACUCAGAUUUAAGAAAAUGGGGGGAGAUGUAUCUAUAUAAGACGCCCCCUAAUUUUUUACAUUAUUUAAAAGGGAAAAAACCUAGUCUUAUACACGGAAAAAUACAGUAAUAUACAGGGGCUAAUGUCACAAUAUGACUAAAAUGAUUCCAGUAGAACCUAUGCACCAGGGCACAUAGGAAUGUAGGAAGCUGUGUUAUACUGACUCGGCCAUUGGUCCAUCUAGCUCAGUAUUGUCUGUAUUCAGUGAGUGACUCCAUGUUUUCAGAUAGGAGCUUUUUCUCCAGCUCUGCUUGCAGAUGUCAAGAGAUGCUCUACCACUGAACUAUGGCCCUUCUCCUGGCACCCAACCCCCUCCCAAUUGUUCACUUUUAUUUAAUGGUAUCUGGCUGAUAAGACUUGCUUUUUGCAGUAUGAAUGUGCUAUGCAUAAUGUAAUGAAUCACAAGCUUUUAAAUAUAGUUAUAUAGUUGAGAUACUCUAAACAGCAGUUUCUGUGUGUGUGUUUUGAGGAGAGUUGCCAGCACUUAGCCUGUGGUCCACAGAAUUAUUAAAUGCAGUCUAUAAAGAAGGCAAUUCCGCUGUCUCUGUUUUAAAAAAAGCUUUAUUGCUCUAGAUAAGUGACUAUAUUUGUUAAUUUAACAAGCUCGGCUGUUUACUUGUGAAGAAAGCUGACCGGCCAUGUUGCAUGAUAAACAUUUUCCUCUGUAUUUUUAUUAUUACACAGAAUGUAGACAUUUCAAGACCUCCUGAGGAAGCCCUUGUAACUGUCCCUGCUCACCAGUGAAGCCCGUGUCCUGAUCAGCUAUGAAACAAUGUAUGCGUUAGCCGCUCUCGAGAAGAAGCUUUGAGGACUGUACCUAAUCAUUUGUAGCAGCCUUUGACCUCCCCUUGCCAGCACCGUCCCAAACUGCUGAAGCAGUGCUAAGGAAACCACUCAGGGAGCUGAGAAUGAAGGCAGCCUUCAAGGAAGCCAAGCAACACAGAAAUGCAUGCACUCCUCCUCUUCUCGAAGACGGUGUUUCAACUGCCUUGGUCUGGCACAAGGCAAAGUUGGCAUUAAAAGUUGAAAUGGACCAAGUAUUUGUGGAACAGAGAAUGAAACUGCUUUUAAAUUAAUAUAUGUUGUCUUUAUCCUGUUGUUCUUCGACUGUGGGUGUUAAAAGUAUGAAAUGCUGGUGUCUCUCUUAAUGCUGUAUCUUAGCUUUCUUCUGCAAUACUUUCCUAAGCCUUUCUUGCUGUGAUUUCCUGUUUUAUUCCUAUAUUAUAUAUAAAAUCUUUACCGGACAUAGAACAGGUGUUUCUUCAACUGAGGAUUCUUCCAACUAUUUAUUUUAGUAUACUACAAAAGGUACCACCAGUCUCCUUGUGAGAUAUAUUAAUCCAGUUAAUAUAUCAAUUUUAGCAACAAGCAGUGUUGUCCAAGUCAUUGCUUUGCAGUUAAACGUUUGAUUUUCUUUUUUUUUUUUUGGUAGCUGCACUAAUUUCUAGGUAAUUUUACUAAAGGCUCCACUUGAUGCUUCACAUCAUUUAAUGGAAAGCCAGAAUAGGUAAUAUUUUCCCAGAUGCAUUCCAUCUAUCUUGUUGAAAUGUUCCAGAACUCCUGGGUUAUUAUUAUUAUUUGAAUAGUGUGUGAAUAGUUUCCUUUCCACAUCAUGCAUACGGCAAACCUAUUUUGUCUGUUUAUUGAAAACCGCAUAUUUUACUUAACUGUUUUUACCUGGUCCCUCCCUUUUUUACACCCCCUCAAACUCCAAACCCCAAGCAGAGAAGCCUAUGAAAAGGGAGGGUUUUUAAUUGACACUCAUGUAAAUAUUGCUCCAAAUGGAGCAGAUAGUAAUACAAUAAAACAAUGUGCAUGGUGGUUACCAGAGGUGAAUGGCAAUAACAGUGCAGGGAAGGUGUAAGACAAAUUACUAGAGAGACCAAAUUAUUAUGAAGCGCUCCUGAGUUAUUGGCAUUAAUGCAAGCUUGUUCUUACCCAUCUUCUUGAACCAAAGUCACAGAUGAAGUAUUAGCUGUUUUGGGUUUUUAUUUUUCUUAUGUAUUGGUGAUAUUUAAGUUAAAAUGCAUUGGAUGGGAAAGAUGAAAGCGAUCCUUUAUUGCAUAUCUUCUACUUUAUUGAUGAGAACAGGAUUUGCACAUUCAUAAAUGGAAACAAUCUUCCGUCCCCCCCCAAAAAAAACGAGGACCCAGGAUUCUUUCUUUCCGUGAACCUUAAGCAGCCACAUCUUUGCCUCAGUGCAUUCCUUGAGUGGAGCUCAAGAGCAUAGUGAAGAACGGGGCCCUCUAGGAUUUUCAAGUAUUUAUAUGCAAAGAGGGAUACUAUGCUGUAAGUGAACUUGUGAAAUUGGAUCAGUCCUGCUUUAGGGUCACAACCCAACAGGGAUAUGCUCCAGAUAUAUCCUGUUGCAAUGAAUGGGAGGCGUGUGAAAGAAAUUCCUGUUAGUGAUAAAACUUCAUGCAUGUUAGGCCAGUUGUGUUUGUUGUACUAAGCCAACGUAUAGUGUAAAUAAUCUGUCCAUGUGAUACAAAUCAGCAAGCAGCAGAUUAGGUGCCUGUUUGUUCUUGAACCGAAGAAAGCUUUGUCCCGUGCGAUUUGAAUGCUUUUUUGCCUUGCUGUCUGUGCUGGUACCUCAUCGAACCUUGCCAUGCUGUUAAUGUUGAGUUCUCUGCAAUGGACUAUGUAAGCUUUGCCUAGUGGGGACUCGUUUAUGUGGCUGGGUGCUAUAAUGUAACAUACUGCCGUGUUCUUCAUUUCUUUAAUAAGGUAGCUUAGCAAUAUAUUCAGCGUUCUGGAGAUAAGCCAUAAAGCCAACCUUAUUUCAGAAACAUAAAAAGGACUAUGUUAAACUAUCAAACACUUCAAAAGCGCUUUAGCUGUACUCCAUCCUUUAAGAUAAUAUGCCUUGACAUCAUAAUGUAUUUAUUCAGGUAGUUCACUACUUACUGGAGUAGAUGAAAAGGGAGCGUUCUGCUGUUGGCGCACAGUACAGUGUCAGCUGGAGAAGGGGAUUUUGGGUAAUGGCUUAAAUCACAGAUGAAUUGUGUCAACAGCCUAGCCCUAACUUCUCUAGAUGUGAGCCACAAGUAAUUAUUCUUAUUAUUGACUACUUAGUGGGCUUGAGUGAAAAGUUGAGGAUUCAUGAGCAGAAAAUUGUGCAGGUAUAACUUUGGAUUUUAAGUGGUAAAUGUGGUUCUUAUAAGAAAAUACUCUCCUUUGAGUUAGCUAAGCCUGCAAGCUAGCCUUCAUUGGCAGGUUUAGCAUUUUCUUCUAACCUUUUCUUAACCAGAAGUAUUUGCUUUCUCUCUCUCUCUCUCCCCCCCCCUUCAUAUUUCUCAAUGUGCUGUAAAACUGUGGCUAAAUAUUUUAUGUAUAGUAGAUAUUUUUAUAGGCUACAUCUAAAUAUACUGUGAUAACAGUAGUUUCUAUUUACAAGAUUGUAUAACUGAAAAAAUUGUUGUGUGCAAGAAUAAAUUAUAAAUGUAUGUUGAUACUUGAAAAUGAGAAUACUAGGAAGCUCUGGAUUCUAAUUUAACUUAAGAUGUGAUGCCAAUUCCACAAUUUGGAAAUGAGCCCCUUUGAAAUGAGUUUGCUUUCUUCAAAGUAAAUGAGUUUAAAAAUGAUAUGUUAGAUGGUUGGUGUGCCACCAGCUUCAUCUGGGUUUCUAGUGAUCAACUAAUCCAGAAGACCUUUUGUAUUUGUUAAUCCACAGGACUGCUUCAUUCUCUACUUUUGAAAGUGUGAAUGAAGAGCGUUUCUAAAAAUAUGGAUCUGACAGGUACAUUUAUCAGAGAGUGGCCAUUACUAGCCAUUUCCUUUUAAGUGUACACUUGAAUGAAAGCCGGUGGCUUUGCUUAUGUGAAAUGCCUCUCAGUAGGUACUAGAAAUGGAAAAGGUUAUGAAAAUUAUUUCCUUUUGUCAUAACAUGUAUCAUAGACCCAAAUGAUUUUGAAUGAGACUAAUUAGGAUGUGACUGUUAACUCACCUAGUUCUAAGGAUAUAUUUGGCCUUCAAUUUAAUCUUACAUGAGAUUUAUUCCAAGCUAAUAAACAUUGUUUUAAAUUGUGA